rnacentral:rRNA from 1 species
UUAAGCGACCAAGCGUACACGGUGGAUGCCCUGGCAGUCAGAGGCGAUGAAGGACGUGCUAAUCUGCGAUAAGCGCCGGUAAGGUGAUAUGAACCGUUAUAACCGGCGAUUUCCGAAUGGGGAAACCCAGUGUGAUUCGUCACACUAUCAUUAACUGAAUCCAUAGGUUAAUGAAGCGAACCGGGGGAACUGAAACAUCUAAGUACCCCGAGGAAAAGAAAUCAACCGAGAUUCCCCCAGUAGCGGCGAGCGAACGGGGAGGAGCCCAGAGCCUGAAUCAGCAUGUGUGUUAGUGGAAGCGUCUGGAAAGGCGCGCGAUACAGGGUGACAGCCCCGUACACAAAAGCGCAUGUGCUGUGAGCUCGAUGAGUAGGGCGGGACACGUGGUAUCCUGUCUGAAUAUGGGGGGACCAUCCUCCAAGGCUAAAUACUCCUGACUGACCGAUAGUGAACCAGUACCGUGAGGGAAAGGCGAAAAGAACCCCGGCGAGGGGAGUGAAACAGAACCUGAAACCGUGUACGUACAAGCAGUGGGAGCACAGGUUUACCUGUGUGACUGCGUACCUUUUGUAUAAUGGGUCAGCGACUUAUAUUCUGUAGCAAGGUUAACCGUAUAGGGGAGCCGAAGGGAAACCGAGUCUUAACCGGGCGUUAAGUUGCAGGGUAUAGACCCGAAACCCGGUGAUCUAGCCAUGGGCAGGUUGAAGGUUGGGUAACACUAACUGGAGGACCGAACCGACUAAUGUUGAAAAAUUAGCGGAUGACCUGUGGCUGGGGGUGAAAGGCCAAUCAAACCGGGAGAUAGCUGGUUCUCCCCGAAAGCUAUUUAGGUAGCGCCUCGUGAAUUCAUCUCCGGGGGUAGAGCACUGUUUCGGCUAGGGGGCCAUCCCGGCUUACCAACCCGAUGCAAACUGCGAAUACCGGAGAAUGUUAUCACGGGAGACACACGGCGGGUGCUAACGUCCGUCGUGAAGAGGGAAACAACCCAGACCGCCAGCUAAGGUCCCAAAGUCAUGGUUAAGUGGGAAACGAUGUGGGAAGGCCCAGACAGCCAGGAUGUUGGCUUAGAAGCAGCCAUCAUUUAAAGAAAGCGUAAUAGCUCACUGGUCGAGUCGGCCUGCGCGGAAGAUGUAACGGGGCUAAACCAUGCACCGAAGCUGCGGCAGCGACACUUUAGUGUUGUUGGGUAGGGGAGCGUUCUGUAAGCCGUUGAAGGUGGCCUGUGAGGGUUGCUGGAGGUAUCAGAAGUGCGAAUGCUGACAUAAGUAACGAUAAAGCGGGUGAAAAGCCCGCUCGCCGGAAGACCAAGGGUUCCUGUCCAACGUUAAUCGGGGCAGGGUGAGUCGACCCCUAAGGCGAGGCCGAAAGGCGUAGUCGAUGGGAAACGGGUUAAUAUUCCCGUACUUGGUGUUACUGCGAAGGGGGGACGGAGAAGGCUAUGUUGGCCGGGCGACGGUUGUCCCGGUUUAAGCGUGUAGGUGUGUGUUCCAGGUAAAUCCGGUUCACUUUAACACUGAGGCGUGAUGACGAGGCACCACGGUGCUGAAGCAACAAAUGCCCUGCUUCCAGGAAAAGCCUCUAAGCAUCAGGUAACAUCAAAUCGUACCCCAAACCGACACAGGUGGUCAGGUAGAGAAUACCAAGGCGCUUGAGAGAACUCGGGUGAAGGAACUAGGCAAAAUGGUGCCGUAACUUCGGGAGAAGGCACGCUGACACGUAGGUGAAGUGGUUUACCCAUGGAGCUGAAGUCAGUCGAAGAUACCAGCUGGCUGCAACUGUUUAUUAAAAACACAGCACUGUGCAAACACGAAAGUGGACGUAUACGGUGUGACGCCUGCCCGGUGCCGGAAGGUUAAUUGAUGGGGUCAGCGCAAGCGAAGCUCCUGAUCGAAGCCCCGGUAAACGGCGGCCGUAACUAUAACGGUCCUAAGGUAGCGAAAUUCCUUGUCGGGUAAGUUCCGACCUGCACGAAUGGCGUAAUGAUGGCCAGGCUGUCUCCACCCGAGACUCAGUGAAAUUGAACUCGCUGUGAAGAUGCAGUGUACCCGCGGCAAGACGGAAAGACCCCGUGAACCUUUACUAUAGCUUGACACUGAACAUUGAGCCUUGAUGUGUAGGAUAGGUGGGAGGCUUUGAAGCGUGGACGCCAGUCUGCGUGGAGCCAACCUUGAAAUACCACCCUUUAAUGUUUGAUGUUCUAACGUGGACCCGUAAUCCGGGUUGCGGACAGUGUCUGGUGGGUAGUUUGACUGGGGCGGUCUCCUCCUAAAGAGUAACGGAGGAGCACGAAGGUUGGCUAAUCCUGGUCGGACAUCAGGAGGUUAGUGCAAUGGCAUAAGCCAGCUUGACUGCGAGCGUGACGGCGCGAGCAGGUGCGAAAGCAGGUCAUAGUGAUCCGGUGGUUCUGAAUGGAAGGGCCAUCGCUCAACGGAUAAAAGGUACUCCGGGGAUAACAGGCUGAUACCGCCCAAGAGUUCAUAUCGACGGCGGUGUUUGGCACCUCGAUGUCGGCUCAUCACAUCCUGGGGCUGAAGUAGGUCCCAAGGGUAUGGCUGUUCGCCAUUUAAAGUGGUACGCGAGCUGGGUUUAGAACGUCGUGAGACAGUUCGGUCCCUAUCUGCCGUGGGCGCUGGAGAACUGAGGGGGGCUGCUCCUAGUACGAGAGGACCGGAGUGGACGCAUCACUGGUGUUCGGGUUGUCAUGCCAAUGGCACUGCCCGGUAGCUAAAUGCGGAAGAGAUAAGUGCUGAAAGCAUCUAAGCACGAAACUUGCCCCGAGAUGAGUUCUCCCUGAGACUAUAAGUCUCCUGAAGGAACGUUGAAGACGACGACGUUGAUAGGCCGGGUGUGUAAGCGCAGCGAUGCGUUGAGCUAACCGGUACUAAUGAACCGUGAGGCUUAACCUU